GACGAACCGAGCGAACGUUGUUCGGAAUCACUGGGCUUAAAGGGCGCGUAGGCGGGUGCUCAAGUCCGUGGUGAAAUCCUCCGGCUCAACCGGAGAACUGCCUCGGAUACUGGGUGGCUCGAGGGUGGUAGGGGUAUGCGGAACUAUCGGUGGAGCGGUGAAAUGCGUUGAUAUCGAUAGGAACUCCGGUGGCGAAGGCGGCAUACUGGACCACCUCUGACGCUGAGGCGCGAAAGCCAGGGGAGCAAACGGG
rnacentral:rRNA from 1 species